GACGAACGCUGGCGGCGUGCUUAACACAUGCAAGUCGAACGGUGACCCAGGGCUUGCCCUGGUGAUCAGUGGCGAACGGGUGAGUAACACGUGGGCAACCUGCCCCUGACUUCGGGAUAACUCCUCGAAAGAGGAGCUAAUACCGGAUACGACCACUUCGGACAUCCGAUGGUGGUGGAAAGUUUUUCGGUCAGGGAUGGGCCCGCGGCCUAUCAGCUAGUUGGUGGGGUAAUGGCCUACCAAGGCGACGACGGGUAGCCGGCCUGAGAGGGCGACCGGCCACACUGGGACUGAGACACGGCCCAGACUCCUACGGGAGGCAGCAGUGGGGAAUAUUGCGCAAUGGGCGAAAGCCUGACGCAGCGACGCCGCGUGAGGGAUGAAGGCCUCGGGUUGUAAACCUCUUUCAGCAGGGACGAAGCGAAAGUGACGGUACCUGCAGAAGAAGCACCGGCUAACUACGUGCCAGCAGCCGCGGUAA
rnacentral:rRNA from 1 species